GUGUUGGGAAGUGAGAAUGCAGGCAUAAGUAACAAUAACCCUGAUGAAAAUUCAGGGCGCCGAAAACCCAAGGUUUCCUGGGCAACGCGAAUCGUCCCAGGGUUAGUCGAUCCUAAGGUGAGGCCGAAAGGCGUAGCCGAUGGAAGAGCAGGUUAAUAUUCCUGCACUGUAUAUAGUUUGAUUUUUGUUGCACAUUUCCAAGCUUUAAGCGUGUUUUGGUUAUACGCGUCCCGCAAGGGAAAGACAAAGCCUACGGGUAGAGUCAAUUUAAGGGAAGGGAAUGUCUAGAAAAGAUAAAAAUCGUUAAGCUAUAUGUAUUCGUACCGCAAACCGACUCAGGUGGGUAAGUCGAGUAGACUAAGGCGUACGAGAGAACCCUCGUUUAGGAACUCUGCAAUACAGCGGCCGUAACUUCGGGAUAAGGCCUUCCCGACUUUUAGUCGGGAUACAACAAAAGACGCACUGCGACUGUUUACCAAAAACACAGCUCCCUGCAAAAGCGCAAGCUGAAGUAUAGGGGGUGAUGCCUGGCCAGUGUCAGAACGUUAAGGGGAGAGGUUCGUCCCGAUUUAUCGGGACAAAGCCUUGAUCCGAAGCGCUGAUGAACGCCGGCGGUAACUAUAACCGUCCUAAGGUAGCGAAAUUCCUUGUCGGGUGAGUUCCGACCCGCACGAAUGGCAUAACGAUAGUGCGACUGUCUCAACGAGGGACUCGGUGAAAUUGCAAGGGAGGUGAAGAUGCCUCCUACCCGCAACUAGACGAAAAGACCCCGUGAAUCUUUACUACAACUUGAUAUUGGCAUAAGGUUAAAUAUGUUGAGCGUAGGUGGGAGCCUUCGGGCACCAGUGAGAUACCACCCUUAUGUUGUGAUGUGUCUAAUCUUCCGGUCUGAAUCGGCUGGAGGAGACAGUGUCUGAUGGGUAGUUUAACUGGGGCGGUUGCCUCCCAAAUUAUAACGGAGGCGUUUACAAAGGUUGGCUUAUCCCGGAUGGAAAUCGGGAUGGACGUGCAAACGCAUAAGCCAGCUUUACUGCAAGGGUUACAGCCCGAGCAGUUGCGAAAGCAGAAGUUAGUGAUC
rnacentral:rRNA from 1 species